GACGAACGCUGGCGGUGUGCUUAACACAUGCAAGUCGAACGGUAAGGCCCUUUCGGGGGUACACGAGUGGCGAACGGGUGAGUAACACGUGAGUAACCUGCCCUCAUCUCUGGGAUAACAGUCGGAAACGGUUGCUAAUACUGGAUAUGAGCUUGCAAGGCAUCUUGUGGGUUGGAAAGAUUUUUUUGGUUGGGGAUGGACUCGCGGCCUAUCAGCUUGUUGGUGAGGUAGUGGCUCACCAAGGCUUCGACGGGUAGCCGGCCUGAGAGGGCGACCGGCCACAGUGGGACUGAGAUACGGCCCAAACUCCUACGGGAGGCAGCAGUGGGGAAGAUUGCACAAUGGACGGAAGUCUGAUGCAGCAACGCCGCGUGCGGGAUGACGGCCUUCGGGUUGUAAACCGCUUUCAAUUGUGACGAAGCUUUUUGUGACGGUAGCAGUAGAAGAAGCACCGGCUAACUACGUG
rnacentral:rRNA from 1 species